CACGGGUUAUCACCUAGUUUGAUAAUAUUUGAUCACUAAAAAUAUAACACGUGAUGAAUUUUUUGUGUGAAUUGACAACAACUUAUGAAAAAAGCAGGUGUAGAAAGAAUCUUUCAUUAAUUUGUCUUGGUCUCCAGGAGCUUCUCUACCUUCUUCUCUCUUUUUUUUUUUUUUUACAAAUCUCUACCUUCUUCUCUCUUUUCUUUAUUACUAGGUCUUUCCUCCUAAGUUUUGACAAAGUAUAUUACUACCAACGUAACAUUUUGACCAUCUGCGUGACUUAUAAAAAAGUCCACAACGAUAUCUGAUAUACCGUAUUAUGAUGCUUAUCACACGAAUUUAGAGGUUUACUGUACGUAUAUAAUGUAAAGUUUCUUCUGUCAUCGGCUGUGUUUUGGACACGUUGUUUCAUCAUCCCACCAUCUUGGCAUUGGAGGAAUUUCAGAACGAUAUAUAGUAAUCACAUCAUAUACUUAGAAAACCACCCUAGCAGGCCAAGACGUGUUUUUAUAGAUUCCCCGAGUUAUAAUUCACUAUUCAAAUAAAAGCCGACACCAGUCACGCAUUGGAUUUGGGAAAGCAAGCUCCACAACGACAAGUUACUAAAGACCAUAGUAUUUGGGAAAAUACAGAUGCACACCGACGUAGAUUGUUUGUAAUUAUGUCGUGAUCCAUUGGUCAGUGAACUAAUUAUAUUGAAACAAUAAAACGAAAAUGUCUUUAUCUUUAGCCAUUCGUUUGGGACCAGGUUGCUGAAGCCCAAACGUGGGAAACAGCCAC
rnacentral:lncRNA from 1 species